GACGGGGGGGGCAAGUGUUCUUCGGAAUGACUGGGCGUCAAGGGCACGUAGACGGUGAAUCGGGUUGAAAGUGAAAGUCGCCAAAAAGUGGCGGAAUGCUCUCGAAACCAAUUCACUUGAGUGGGACAGAGGAGGGUGGAAUUUCGUGUGUAGGGGUGAAAUCCGUAGAUCUACGAAGGAAGGCCAAAAGCGAAGGCAGCUCUCUGGGUCCCUACCGACGCUGGGGUGCGAAAGCAUGGGGAGCGAACAGG
rnacentral:rRNA from 1 species